AUUGAACGCUGGCGGCAUGCCUUACACAUGCAAGUCGAACGGUAACAGGUUAAGCUGACGAGUGGCGAACGGGUGAGUAAUGUAUCGGAACGUGCCCAGUCGUGGGGGAUAACUGCUCGAAAGAGCAGCUAAUACCGCAUACGACCUGAGGGUGAAAGCGGGGGAUCGCAAGACCUCGCGCGAUUGGAGCGGCCGAUAUCAGAUUAGGUAGUUGGUGAGGUAAAGGCUCACCAAGCCGACGAUCUGUAGCUGGUCUGAGAGGACGACCAGCCACACUGGGACUGAGACACGGCCCAGACUCCUACGGGAGGCAGCAGUGGGGAAUUUUGGACAAUGGGCGCAAGCCUGAUCCAGCCAUGCCGCGUGCGGGAAGAAGGCCUUCGGGUUGUAAACCGCUUUUGUCAGGGAAGAAAAGGUUCUGGCUAAUACCUGGGACUCAUGACGGUACCUGAAAAAUAAGCACCGGCUAACUACGUG
rnacentral:rRNA from 1 species